UUGUUGGUAAGGUAAAAGCUUACCAAGGCUUCGAUCAGUAGCUGGUCUGAGAGGACGACCAGCCACACUGGGACUGAGACACGGCCCAGACUCCUACGGGAGGCAGCAGUGGGGAAUUUUGGACAAUGGGGGCAACCCUGAUCCAGCCAUGCCGCGUGAGUGAAGAAGGCCUUCGGGUUGUAAAGCUCUUUCAGCCGGAACGAAACGGUUACGGUUAACACCCGUGACUACUGACGGUACCGGAAGAAGAAGCACCGGCUAACUACGUGCCAGCAGCCGCGGUAAUACGUAGGGUGCGAGCGUUAAUCGGAAUUACUGGGCGUAAAGCGUGCGCAGGUGGUUUUGUAAGUCAGAUGUGAAAGCCCCGGGCUCAACCUGGGAACUGCGUUUGAAACUACAAGACUAGAGUGUGGCAGAGGGGGGUGGAAUUCCGCGUGUAGCAGUGAAAUGCGUAGAGAUGUGGAGGAACACCGAUGGCGAAGGCAGCCCCCUGGGUCAACACUGACGCUCAGGCACGAAAGCAUGGGGAGCAAACAGGAUUAGAUACCCUGGUAGUCCAUGCCCUAAACGAUGUCAACUAGUUGUCGGGCCUUUACGGGCUUGGUAACGUAGCUAACGCGUGAAGUUGACCGCCUGGGGAGUACGAUCGCAAGAUUAAAACUCAAAUGAAUUGACGGGGACCCGCACAAGCGGUGGAUUAUGUGGAUUAAUUCGAUGCAACGCGAAAAACCUUACCUACCCUUGACAUGUAUCGAAGCCCGCAGAAAAGCGGGGGUGCCCGAAAGGGAACGAUAACACAGGUGCUGCAUGUCUGUCGUCAGCUCGUGUCGUGAGAUGUUGGGUUAAGUCCCGCAACGAGCGCAACCCUUGUCAUUAAUUGCCAUCAUUUAGUUGGGCACUUUAAUGAGACUGCCGG
rnacentral:rRNA from 1 species